rnacentral:tRNA from 1 species
AUUUGUGUAGUUUAAUUAAAACAUUACAUUUUCAAUGUAAAAAUAAAUUUUUAUUUUACAAAUA